GAACGGCAGCACGGGGGCAACCCUGGUGGCGAGUGGCGAACGGGUGAGUAAUGCAUCGGAACGUGUCCUGUUGUGGGGGAUAACCAGUCGAAAGACUGGCUAAUACCGCAUGAGAUCGAGAGGAUGAAAGCGGGGGACCGCAAGGCCUCGCGCGAUAGGAGCGGCCGAUGCCGGAUUAGAUAGUUGGCGGGGUAAAAGCCCACCAAGGCGACGAUCUGUAGCUGGUCUGAGAGGAUGAUCAGCCACACUGGGACUGAGACACGGCCCAGACUCCUACGGGAGGCAGCAGUGGGGAAUUUUGGACAAUGGGCGCAAGCCUGAUCCAGCCAUGCCGCGUGUGUGAAGAAGGCCUUCGGGUUGUAAAGCACUUUCGGACGGAACGAAAUCGCGCGGGUGAAUAAUCCGGCGUGGAUGACGGUACCGUAAGAAAAAGCACCGGCUAACUACGUG
rnacentral:rRNA from 1 species